UACAGAGGGUGCGAGCGUUAAUCGGAAUUACUGGGCGUAAAGCGUGCGUAGACGGUAGCGUAAGUCAGAUGUGAAAGCCCCGGGCUCAACCUGGGAAUGGCAUUUGAGACUGCUCUGCUCGGGUGCGGAAGAGGGAAGCGGAAUUUCCGGUGUAGCGGUGAAAUGCGUAGAUAUCGGAAGGAACACCAGUGGCGAAAGCGGCUUCCUGGUCCGACACCGACGGUCAGGCACGAAAGCGUGGGGAGCAAACAGG
rnacentral:rRNA from 1 species